GUGUCCUACGGGAGGCAGCAGUGGGGAAUAUUGCACAAUGGGCGAAAGCCUGAUGCAGCGACGCCGCGUGAGUGAAGAAGUAUUUCGGUAUGUAAAGCUCUAUCAGCAGGGAAGAAAAUGACGGUACCUGACUAAGAAGCCCCGGCUAACUACGUGCCAGCAGCCGCGGUAAUACGUAGGGGGCAAGCGUUAUCCGGAAUUACUGGGUGUAAAGGGAGCGUAGACGGUGAUGUAAGUCUGGAGUGAAAGGCGGGGGCCCAACCCCCGGACUGCUCUGGAAACUAUGUGACUGGAGUGCAGGAGAG
rnacentral:rRNA from 1 species